rnacentral:misc_RNA from 1 species
AGUUCACUUGGUUGCCGUAAGCACUAUUGUAACUCUUGCUUGGGUUGUUAAGGGAUUCGGCCAUUAUUGGGUUGGGAGUGACCUUGUUGCCGUGAGACUCCUUUGUUGUAAGAUUGGUGUUGUCGUGUGAACCUCUUGGUGGUUGGAAUAUUGCAAGUUGCCGUGGGCUCCCAUUGUAACUCAUUGUGAGAGUUUAGGUUGUUCACUUGUGUGCCGU